CACCCCUGUACUGUUCUCAUCUCUAUCAGUCUUCAACCCUAGUAUAGCCUUAGGAAUUCUACCAUUUUCACAAGCGAUUGACUUCCCAAACACCACCAAAAAUCAACCCUAUACUCCCCAUAAUCCUUCAAGUACUAUGAUGGUACAAAUAUCUACAAAACCCUCAUUGAAUCCAGUCAGUUUUAGAUCUAAAAAGAGAGAAGAAGAAAAGAGAAUUUUCCCAGAUUUUCAAGAACGAUUUGGACUGAAAAUAGUAUGGUCCGUUCAUUCUCGAGGAGAGCAUGCGGAUAAUACUAAUUUUGGUCUAAAUCAGAGACGCCGGAGGUCCAUACAGGCUUGUUGGCCUUUUAGUUAAGGAAAAUGCUUCUUCCGCUUUACCUAUCCUUUCCGAAACCAAAGCUUUAAGUGCCAGAGCAUAAGGGGAAUUGGGGUAUUUGGAGAGGAGAGGGGUGCAGUGCUUGAGAGCAUUUUUGAACUGGCGAGAAUCAAUGGCAUCCCAGAUGGGUCGAACUCUACGCUCCGGUAUGCCACCAACUAACCCAAACUUGGACGCUAUUUUCCAGCCGUUUGAGAAUUGGAUGCAAUCAGUGAUUUUGUAGCCAUAGCGUGGUCGCCGCUCUUUUCCGUGAUCUGUCUUUACAUCUGAGCCUCAGUACUUUUGGGCUAGCCACUAAAAUUAUUUUUGGGCUAUAAAAUGUAUGUUGCAGUUUUUGGGCUACCGGAUGAAAUAUGUUUGGGUCGAUGAGCUAUAAAUGAAGUUUGCUCAA